CAGGGGUAAGCCACACCUUGCAGUGUUUCUUGCAAGACAGGCAGGCAUGCCAGCCUGGUGACACACAGCUGCAGAGACGGUUAAGACAUGGAUUUGUCCCCUUUGAAUGCAGGUGAGGGUGGGAGGGCACCAGAGAAUGGGCAGGGGUGACGACACUGGAGACAGCGUAGGGUCAGGUUACCCAAGGCCUGCAGUGCACAGUGACGGAGCUCAGACUCUAAAAGGCACAAACUGCUCUUGCAAGAGUGUGGCCACAGCUCUGCGUGGGAUCACGUGAGACAGGGGCCAGGAGACUGUACUAAUGAUCUGAGAAGUGAGAGCAGGAGGGAGCCAUUUUGGAGACACUUGGCAAAUGCUACUGUAAGCGACAUGUUGGCUGCAGACUCUAAGCGAGGGGGAAGGGCUGCAGGGUGACCUGGGUUCUGCUUCCUGAGUGCAAAUAAAUAGUUCUGACAGGCAGGGAGACUCUAUGCAGUUUGGCCAGGCGAAUCGAGGGUUUGGUGUGCACGACAGAGCCGGGAAGCAUAGGUGGACUGAGUUCACAGAAGGAUGCCGGGGAGUGGACAGGUCUGGAAGGACAGCCACAGAUCCGAUGCCAGAGGGUGGCAGCUACACAAGAGCAGCAAGGAGGACUGGCCCAGGAAGUGGAGCCGGAGAGCGGUGGAACAGAGCCAGAGAAUGCAUUAGUCAACCCAGGACGAGUAUCCAGCCAGGAAGCUGAUACGGGAAGAAUACAUGAGCCCAGGAAUUCAAGGCCAGCCUAAGCAACAUAGUGAAACUCUGGCAGCAGCAACAAGAGCUAUACACACUUAACAUACAUAACCUGAAGAGUCUGAAAAGGAUGGUUGUUGAGCAAAUGAGCAGGGUAAACCGGACGGCAGGUCUCUGUAAACAACUGGAGAAGGAAAAUACACAAUGAACUCAAGUGAUGGUUAUGAAUGAACGGCUCCUAGCACUCAGGACUUCUCCAAAGUGCUCUGCUGGUCAGUGACCCUUUCUUGAUCUAUCAGUUAGAUUUAGUUAAAAAUAAAAGCUAGGGUGAUGGCUCUGUGAA